AUGACGUACUUCCGGUACAAAUUCAACAUGGCGGACGACCAUCGUGAAAAAAGUUGUACUUUUCAAUCGACAAUUUCUCAGUCUGGGAUUCCUUAUUUUGGAGAGGAACCUGUUUUGGACAUUUUUCAAAGCUUGAUGCUGGUUACGCACAGGCGAGAGUUUGAUAAUUCCAAACAAGGACAAAGAAACCUAUGAAAUGAGGUCUUUUUAAUUGAUGCUCCUGUCCAGAUGUUGGUGGAAAGACUGGAAGUUGUAAACACGUCAUUUGCUUACUAUUGAACAACAAAGAUUGUCAAAGAAACAAUGUGAACGAUCUGAAUUUCGUGCACUACUCAAUCAACAACACGCAAAAGAAAUUCAAAGGUAGAAAUGCCAACGUAAAGGAGGCUGCCAAGAAACAACGAUAUCAGACUUUAUAUUGUAUGAGUGAAGAAGAAUUUUUUAGAACUGCUAAAGAAAUGUUGAAGAUAAAAACUUUGGUUGAAGUGAAGGAUUUUUGUACAUUGUAAAAUUUGCUCAAAUGCUAUGUUCAGGGGGUACAAAAAUUAUCAUAUUUUUUUUUACUCAA